rnacentral:lncRNA from 1 species
CUGAAAACAGGUCACCUUUAGAAAGAGAUGAGAGCAUCUCAUGAAGGCUGCAGGGUUUCAGUGCAGCAGGGUCUUCUCUUCUGCCUUAGAGGCAAGUCUGAGUUCAGAUGACAUCAAUCACCAACAGAGACAGUGAUCAACAGAAGCCCCUCUGGGGCAGGUCAGAAGAGCUCUCCCUCUCCAUCCAGGAAUGAAACAGGAAUGGAAUAACUGGCCAUGCGGUCCAAGAGAGAGGCAGCCAUGCAGGUGGCUGCAGGAAGAAAGAGUGAAGGCUCCUGUGUGAGGCACGUGGAGCAGAUGGAGCCAUCUGAAUAGGUUUGAGAAGCCACUUCCUAUUCUCUGGCCAAGGAGAAUUAUGGAUUGCAAGAGAAUUAUGGAUUGCAAUGGGGAUACUUGAGCCAGAGCAUGAACAAACAUUAGGAGACAAACGAGCACUCAAAUGGAGCAGACAGUGAUCAUGGCGAAGAAUUAUCUUGAGAUUCACCGGGGUUUAUCAGAAAAAAAAUAAAUAGCAAAGGAGGAACCGGCACACUGAACCAGGACACGACACCACAACAAAAAGCUGGAAGUCGUCUUUCUGAUGUUUUAGUCUCUAACGUCAAGUGUGCAAGUCUAGAAAGUGUAUUUCUUGGUAUGAGUGAGUACGACGUAAUGGACCGCGUUCCUGCUCGUCUCCGCCCUCUACACGUGUGGGCUUCCGUGGUAAGCCCAACAUCCUCUUCAUUCAGGACCUGGCAGAAGAGUCUGAGAAACUACUUAUUACCAUGAGGACGUGGUUGAUGGCGAUUGACAACCCUGCCCACCUGCAUAAACCUUGCCCCUAUUAACACCAGGGGAAAAACCUGUGGGGAGGCCCAUUCUCACUCAUCGCAGCGCGUCUCCAAAGCUACUAGCGGACCACCCUCUAUUCCCUAACCCUUGGGGAAGACCGCCAGGAGCCCCAUCACCCCAUCCAACAGUGCCAGCUCUGUGCUUGUACGCCGCCUGUUUCUUCUACACUCAUCCUCUGGCUGGUGGAGGCAGCAAAUUCCUCCGCAUCUUUGUGAAUGAGACACCCAGGGGCUGAAUAUCAAGGAACAAAUGCAUUAAUCACGGCAGAGCCUGCGUGCCAAGGCGCAUAAAGACCACUGCUCCCAGCAGCGGCGAUAGCGUGAACCUUUCCACAGACCACACGCUCCGAAGUCGCUCUCUGAAGUCUUAUUACUGACAGCUAGUGGUCAAAGCUGACAUCUGUCAGAUGGCCGUGUCAUUUGGUGGUGAUCAUGAUUGUAGCAGGAAGAGGGAUUUUUCAUCAGAUUUUUUGACUUUAAAAUCUGGAUUACAUUGGAAACUCAACAUGCUUACAGGAGAUACUGCAAAACAUAGACUUUAAAUAAGGCCUGAGACCCUUGAUGCUGGGAAUCAUUUACCUAGAAGUCACCCACUGACGGGUUCCCAAGGCCGCUCAGCGAAAACAAAGGCAGGGCCGGAGAGCUUGCGUUAACCCCUCAACCUGCACAGUGGCAAAGCGCCUGUCAGCACUUUCUUGUAAUUCUACCACCCUCACUGCUUCAGACUCACGGGAAACAGUGAUUCAGCAACGUUGAAAAGACAGCGCAUUGGGGGUUUAAAUUGUGCUUUCUUCCUGAAAUAUUUCUUAUAUUUUCCCUCACCAGGACUGAAGUUCAAAUGACUGUGUGAGUUUAUGUGUGUUAGGUGAGCGUUUAAUUAUUCAAUUCAGGGCUGUCCUGUGCUUAUUGCUUUUUUUUUUUUUUAAGUAUAAUUAAAAUUUAGUUUGCAAAUCAUUUUUUCACGUUUUUACAAGUUUUAAAAACAUCAAAAUUAUGUUGGCCAGGCUCAAUAUUUCAACUUCAGUUAUAUUUAGCACUGAUGAACCUUAAGUUCAUUUUAAUUUAAAUACUUUAUUCAUAUGAGAUCUACUGAUGCAAAAUAUGCUUGUGGACUGCAGAUUUUUAAAGUUCCCAGAAUGUUUUGAAG